AUUCUGUGCUGCGGAAAUUUCCGCAACAUAUCCUUAUACCUUUCCGAUGUAUCAUAUAAGGAUUCAGAUUCUAAUUGGCAGAAAGAGGAGAUGUCGCUUCUGAGUCU